rnacentral:rRNA from 1 species
CACGUAGGUGACAAGCGUUGUCCGGAUUUACUGGGCGUAAAGAGCGCGCAGGCGGUCGAUCAAGUCGAGUGUGAAAGCCCCCGGCUCAACUGGGGAGGGUCAUUCGAUACUGAUCGACUCGAAGGCAGGAGAGGGUAGUGGAAUUCCCGGUGUAGUGGUGAAAUGCGCAGAUAUCAGGAGGAACACCAGUGGCGAAGGCGGUGCUCUGGGCCGGAACUGACGCUGAGGAGCGAAAGCGUGGGGAGCGAACAGG